rnacentral:lncRNA from 1 species
UGGUCCCGUCCCUUGCGCUGCCCUUCCCUCCCCCUGCCCACAUCCCUCCAUUGCACAGGGGGGCAGAGAGACCCCCCAGCCGCCCCAGGGUGGCCUGGCAGGAGCUGGGGGCUCCCCAGGAGAGCAGCUCUGCGCUGGAGCCAGCCCAGGGCUGCCUGGGGCAGCCACUGCAGAGCGGGCAGUGAGGGCUCCCCCAGGCCUGGGCAGGCUCGGGGGCCAGGGACUGCCACCAGCUGGAUGCUGCCACUGCUGGAUCCUGCUUCCUCCUCACGCUGCCAGCAGGGGCCUGCGCUCUGCUGCCAAAGGGAUUGAGACAACACAUUGGCAAUAUCAAUUGUGCCAUCCCACUUGGCUGCCUUGGACUCCGGUUCACAUUGAAGUUCCAGCAUGUCCUGUAUGGCAGCACUCACUGGUGGCAGUCCCUGGCCCCGAGCCUGCCCAGGCCUGGGGGAGCCCUCACUCCCCGCUCUGCAGUGGCUGCCCCAGGCAGCCCUGGGCUGGCUCCAGCGCAGAGCUGCUCUCCUGGGGAGCCCCCAGCUCCUGCCAGGCCACCCUGGGGCGGCUGGGGGGUCUCUCUGCCCCCCUGAGCGAUGGAGAGAUGUAGGCAGGGGGAGGGAAGGGCAGCGCAAGGGAUGGGACCACGCCGGGGAG